AAGAAGAAAGAAAUAAAGAAGGAAAAACUGUGACCAAUAGGAGAAGCUAAUUCAUGGUGGUGAGGAUAACUAAAGUACUGAUCUUCACCGUUGAUAGACCUUAAUCUAAUGGAUAUAAUUUAUUCACUUAUUUUUUAUAUCUCUUUCUUCUCCUUAUCCCGACUUUUGCAAUCUUCUUUUUUCAUGGAUCUCAAACUAAACUUCUUCCUCUCAGAGCAUCAUUAUUGGUGGGCAGAGCCCUUAACUUUUUUUUUUUUUUGGUCAUCAAACACUUAAAGGCACAUAAGGGCUCUGCCCACCAAUAAUGAUGGCCUCACGACCUUCUCACAACCGUCAGACGUCACACGUCACCACCACAACCAUCGUUCGUCACAACCAUCACCGUCCGACACCACCAUCACAAUGGGUUGGAGGAAGCAAGGCGUGCGGCGGAGACCAAGCGAAGUGGUGGAACAGAGAAAAUAUAUAGAGCUCGGAGAUGCAGAGAAAGAAGAAGACGCGACGGUCGGUCUCUAGCUCGUUCACGUCCUCACCAGCAGCAGCACCACUACCACCACCGACGGUGGUAGAAGAAGAGGAAGCUACGGGACAGUGGUUGAAGUCUUGAAGACCUUAACGGGACAGUGGUUGAAGUCUUGAAGACCUUGACGAUGGAAGAAGAAGAGGAAGCUACGGCGGCUGGAGUUUUUUCUUAGGUUUACAGUAUUUUUUUUUAGGUUUGGUUUAAUGUGUUUUAGUUAGUGUAUGGUUUAAUUUGUUCUGGUUUAGUUAAUUUUUUUAAUUUUGGUUUAGUUUUGUAAAACUAAUUUUAUUGUAAACUGAUUUUAAUUAAUAAAUAAAUUUUUAUUUUAA